rnacentral:rRNA from 1 species
GACGAACGCUGGCGGCGUGCUUAACACAUGCAAGUCGAACGAAGUGGCGAACGGGUGAGUAACGCGUCAUCAACCUGCCCUUCAGAGGGGGACAACAGUUGGAAACGACUGCUAAUACCGCAUACUUAAGGAGGGGAUGGCGUCUGAUUAGCUAGUUGGAGGGGUAACGGCCCACCAAGGCGAUGAUCAGUAGCCGGGCUGAGAGGAGGAACGGCCACAUUGGGACUGAGACACGGCCCAGACUCCUGCGGGAGGGAGCAGUGGGGAAUCGUCCGCCAUUGACGAAAGUCUGACGGAGCAACGCAGCGUGAGUGAUGACGGCCUUCGGGUUGUAAAGCUCUGUUAAUCGGGACGCGGUACCGGAAUAGAAAGCCACGGCUAACUACGUGCCAGCAGCCGCGGUAAUAC